rfam:Corallococcus coralloides DSM 2259, complete genome.
CGGGAUGUAGCUCAGCUGGUUGAGAGCGUGCGCCUCAUACGCGCAAGGUCGCUGGUUCGAAUCCAGUCAUCCCGA